UUUCCGUAGGUGAACCUGCGGAAGGAUCAUUAAUGAGUUGUCAUGGGGUUCGAUGCUGGCAGCCAAUUUUUGGAUGCAUGUGCUUGCCCUAACAAUCAUCUUCCAAACACCUGUGCACAUUUUUGAGGGAGACUUGAGUUGGUUGCCGCUCUUGGGUGAUUUUCUCACAUUCCCUUAAAUCAUUAUACGCUAUUAACAAUGUUGAACGUGCUCUGUGCCGCAAGGCCAUUAAUAUAAUACAACUUUUAACAACGGAUCUCUUGGCUCUC
rnacentral:misc_RNA from 1 species